UCUUAUCAAGAGCGACUGAGGGAACAGGCCCUAUGACGUCCGGCAACCUGCAUUUACGGCAAGGUGCUACAUCCUGCGGUUUAAACCGGGAGAUAAG
rnacentral:ncRNA from 1 species